rfam:Ciona savignyi cont_43767, whole genome shotgun sequence.
GGUCCUGUGGCCCAAUGGAUAAGGCGCCUGACUACGAAUUAGGAGAUUCUAGGUUCGAGUCCUGGCAGGAUCG